rnacentral:lncRNA from 1 species
UUUUUUUUUUUUUGCAAUCUCAUGUUGCUAUAUUUUUCCUCCACUAUAUAGAUUCUUAAUCAUAUGUUAUAUUAUUUUUUCCUACAUGACAUGCAAAUUUUGGGUGCAUAAAUAUUGAGUGCACAUAUAUCAUGUAGGUACAUUCUAGCUCAUUGCAGCUUCUUACAAUUUCUCUCAUGUUUUUUUGGGUGCGCAUAUGUUGAUUUCUUCCUUCAUUUCCGUGAAGCUUAGGCUCCCUUCAAGUUGUUUGUCGGUUCAAUCAUCAUGUUGUUCGUUGAUUUUGUUUUUGCAAAGCUUCCACUCUAUAGCUUCUAUAUAUAGUUUUAUUUUGUAGAUCCAUCAUAUCGGUUUCUUUUAACUCUGCAGCCUACAGAUCUUGCAAUGUAGCCUAUGAAGUUCUACUCUAUAGAUCUAAGCUCCAACUUUUUUCUUGUUGUUUUGGGUGCAACUGCCAUGAUUUAUGUUGGUUAAUUUCUGUGGAGCUUUGACUUCCUUCAUGUUGUUUGGGUAACAUGAUUGGAGCUUAGGCUUCUUUUAUGUUGGUUUUGUUUAUAUGAAAUUUAAUUUCCUUUAUAUUGUUUGGAUAUAACUCCAUGUGUUAUGUUUUUGAGUGCACAUAUGAUACUACAACUAUUUAUAGCUUAUAUAGCUUAUAUAGCUUUUUACUGCUUCGUAUAGCUUUUUAUUGCUUCCUGCAGCUUUUAAGUUCUAUGCUUACAUUUAUAUCUCAUAUAUAUUCUCAAUCGAAGAACUAUUUUGUUAAAAAAUAAAUAUAUAUAAUUUGGUAAUGUCCACCAACCGAAAAAAAAAAACCCACAAUAUAGCGAGAGACAUUACAACACAUAACAAACAAACAAAAUUACAAGCAUGCAUAGAAAAAAAAUUACUAAUAAAGACUGGAGUGUAAUAUGGAAUGCUAUGGUGCCGCAACGUACCAAGUAGUAUAUGCCGCUUGCUUUGCAUGAGAAGCGACUUACUAAUAUUGAGAGAUGUCGGCGUCACUUAACGGCAGAGCCGUCGUGUUCAAUUUGUGGGAGUGCUCAAUAAUCGGUGAACUGUUAUUUUAUAAUAUCUUUACCACUAAAUCAAAAUUUUAUUUUAUUAUAAUAUUUACAGUUUAAUUGUAUUAUGCAUACUAUUAAUUAUAUAUAUUUAUACUUCUAUUUAAAUCAUUAACUGAAUUGGUGUCACGAGUUAAUUAAUUCAAUUAAGAAAAUUACAAAAAUAUCCUUCUGUGAUUAAAAAAAGUUAUAUUAUUUGAGGGUAUUUGAUCCUUUUUAUUUUUAAAAAACCCAAAUAAAACUUUACAUAUGGUUGGAUUUAAACUUGUGCCAUUUACAUGAAUAAAAAUAUUAACUUUACAACUAAGCCAAAACUUUUUUUAUUAUAAUAUUUAUAUUUUAAUUGUAUUAUGUAUAAUUUAUUACCUCCAUCAAUUGUAUAUAAUGAUGACAUUAAUUGAGUUAGUAUCACAAGUCAACUCGACACAAACUUAAAAUUGAUAACGAGAUCAUGAUAAACAUCUGUAGUCCAUUUAGUAUUCUUAGUAUGAUAUAUUGACGUGUUUAAAUUUUAUUUUACUCAUAAUCUAAUCUAUUUUUUAUUUUAAUAUCAUACAUAUUUAAUGUGUUAUCGUUUUUUUGUAAAGAAAAAAACUAGGCUAAAGGACUAUCUAGCCUAAUUAAUAAUAGCUUUCGCAGACAACGUGUGAUGCUUAUCUACUUCCAAAAUCCAUCGCACAAAGAUAGAUGGGUAAAAAUAAUAAUAAUCAAUUGAUCCAAACUACCUUUAGCCUCCUUUGCCAUACAGUCAUCAACUCAGUUACAAUCUCUAGAGAUGAGUCUAAUCCUCACUUGCCAAUUUUUUUAAACCCAAGUAUGAAUCAUCCUAACUUCAACAACACUAUUGUUUUUAGCUAAUCCAUUUUGUAGGAUGUCAACUAAAAGAGCAUUAUCACUCUUCACUUCAACUUGUCAAAAACCACGAGUCCAAACAAACUUUAGACCUUCAAGCAUUGCUCUAGCUUCGACCUAAAAUAUAUCAGUCAAUCUACUUACCAUUCCAAAACCCACAAGCCAGUCCCCAUUAGGUCCUUUUAUCGCUUCACCUAAGGCCCCCUUUUAGUUUACCUUUGGAACUGAGUCAUCCACACUAACUUUGGUCCAUUUGAUGUUCAAGAGUGUCACCACCCUCUCAAACUAGAUUUAGCUAUCCAAGCUUGAGACAAAAACUUGGUGUUCAAAGACCCUGUCCAAGCGACUGCCGAGGAAAUAAAACCAUGGCUAUUAUCGUUGGCAUGAUUGAAGAUAAAAUCAUUCUGAUUCUUCCAAAGGAACCAACAAACAAUCGAAUAGAAAGAACCCCAUUCACCACUUUAGAAAUUGAACUUCCCCACAUUUCUAAAGUUCCAAAUAAUCCACUUGACAAGUGGAAGGUUGAAGAAAACAUUCCAACAAGACCUUGGGACAACCGACUUAUAGACAACUUGAACAAAUCCACAAUCUCGAACUACAUGAAUUGCAGAUUCUAUACAUAAGCUACAAUGUUCACAACAUGGAUAAUUGGAGAUACCUCACUUUGUCCGUUUCUCAUUAGUCAAGAGUUUACCACAGGCAAGUAACUAAAGAAAAAUACGAACUCUUUGUGGUGCCAAAAUUUUCCAAGUGAGGAAAGCACUUUUGAGUUUCCUUUGGACCUUAGGGGCAAGCAAAUUCUUGUAUGUUCCUGUAAUAGAUAAAACACCUCCCAACAUUCAUCUCUAUGUUAAGUUAUCUUGUCUAGCAGUUUCCACCGGUGGAGCGCAACCCAAUACAUGCUUCACAAACUCACAAGGAAAAACUGAUUGUAACCAAAACGCAUUCCAUGAACCAUCCAUAUUGUCUGUUACCAAUGUAAUAUUGUUCCAAAGGCCCCAACUCCUUAAGCCAAGGAUCAAGCCAGAAAUUAACCAAACGACCAUCUCGAAUCGCCCAGAUGAGGCCUUUCUUUACAUCCUCCCAGACAUUAGCUAUAGACCACCACAUGUAGGAGCAAUUACUACAUUAAGUGUCAUUCGGAAAAAUCCUAUGGAAAUUAUAUUUAUUCCUCAAUACUUGAACCCAAAAUAUCUCAAUAUUGGUCACCAAAUUGAAACCCAAUUUUAAUAGGAAUAGUUUUCUUUGAUCUUGAAGUCUUCUAAUCCUAAGUUCCCCAUUUAAACUCAGUGUAUAACAAACAUCCCAGCUGACCAAAGACACCUUUCUUUCCAAGGCUGAUGAUCCCCACAAAAAAUUAAAAAAUUACGAGCUAAUUUUUCAAAUUUCAUAGCAGACUGAUAUUGGAAUUCUAGCAGUAGCCACGAAAUUGGGGAUUGUAAUUAACACACUCUUUACCAAAUUAAGACGGCAGCCAACGGUAGUUUUUGAACAUCCCAACCGUUAAGUCUAGCCUGAACUUUAUCAACUAGAAACUAAAACGUACCAAACCCCACCUUUUUACUAAAGAAGAGUACACCAAGAUACUUGCCCAAAUCGUUGACUUUAGUAAAACCAAGUUUGGCACUUAAACUUGAAGCAACCUUUUUCGAAAGAUUCCUCGAGAAAAAUACAUUGGUCUUCAACCUAUUAACACGAUGACCUGAGUAAUGAUAGAAAAUAUUCAAUACAUGGUUAUGAUAACCAACGCCCUUAUCAUCAGCUUUACAAAAAAGCAUAAGGUCAUCUACAAAAAAAAGAUUAGAUGAAGUAGGAUCUCUACGAGAAAGUAAUAAAGGUUCCCAAGAUCCUCUUUCCAUAGCCACUUCAAUUAUAUAGCCAAGCCUUUCCAUCACUAAAACAAAAAAAUAAGGAGAGAGCGGAUCCCCUUGUCUAACUCCUCUAGAUGGAAUAAAUUUAUCUGACAGAACACCAUUUCACAAAAGUUGCAUAUGAGGAUAUUACAUAGUUCAUUAUUGCACGAACUAUAGUUUCUGGCAAACCGACAUCAUAUAAUGUAUCUUGUAGAAAAUUUCAUCAAAUCCUGUCAUAGGCUUUCUCCAGAUUAACCUUAAUAGCAAUCCAUCCCUUUCAUACUUUUUUUGUUUUUAUCGUUUGAAGAGCCUCUCAAGCAAUAAUGGUGUUAUCAGAAAUGGAACAUGAAGAUAUAAAACUUGAUUGAUUCAUUUUCACAAGAACCUAUAUCACUUGUCGAAGGUGAAUGACAAUCAUCUUGGUAAUGAUCUUAUAUAAGACAUUAUAAAGGUUGAUAGGUCGAAACUAACUUAUAGAAUCUGCACUAAGCAUUUUUGGGAUCAAAACCAAAAGGGUUCUAUUUAUAUCUAAAUCCAACUGUCCACCCUUAAAAACAUGUCUAACCAUCUUCAGAACAAUGCUCCCUACAGUAUCCCAAUUUGCUUGAUAGACUUUAGCAUGCAAACCAUCAAUUCUAGGAGCUUUAAGCAGCGUACUAAAGAUAACAUGUCGCACCUCAUCCAAAGAUACCUCUGUAGUAAGUCCAAUUAUAAGAUGACCCUAAAAGUUUGGAAAACAUCCCUUGUAAAGGAAUUCCUCAAUCGAAUACUGAUCCACUUUAUACAACUUUGAGAAAUACUCAAUGCAUGAAACUUGAGAGUGUUGCUGUCAUAACACCAUCCUAUAUUAUCAAUCACCAGCCCCUCGAUUCUAUGCUGCUUCCUUCGUAUUUCUGUCCCCAUUAGAAAACCAUUCACUUCUUAAUUUUGAAACCAUAGUAAUUCCUCUUGGUUUAAAAUAUUCUCAAUUUUAAAAUGUACAUCUACUUCUCUACUUCUAAGUCUUAAAGAAUCCCACCGUUCUAGAGCCUUUUGAAUACGGUCAAGCUCCAUCAUAGCCCUACGGAUUCUAACAAAGAUAUUACCAAUAAUAUUUCUAUUCCAAACUUGGAUCAGUUGAGUGAAUUUUUCCAAAUUUAUGGUAAUACAUUUUUUAGCUCUCUAAGAUUCUUCUACCACAUUUCGAAAACCUGGAUGCAAAAGCCAGCUAGCUAGGAAGUGAAACAGUCUUACUCUAUUAUUAAUCUUUGUUGAAGAUGUUGAGACAACAAUAGGCUGAUGGUCUGAUUUUAGUUUAUACAAAUGUCAGACAGUAGUGUUAGGCAUAAAGGAAUGCCAAAAAUCAUUACAAAGAGAUCUAUCCAAUCUCUUAAAUAAAUUGCCUCUAUUCCAAGUAAAACAUGGUCCUUAAAAUCCCAAAUCAUAUAAACCUUUAUCAAAGACAAAGGAUCUGAAAUUCCUACAACUAGUUUUUCACAUAUCAGACCCUCCUUUCCGCUUAUUUCCCUUUCAGAUAGUGUUGAAAUCUUCCACAGUCAACCAUGGUUCUUGCACUACAAUCGAGAUUUGACUUAGUUUAUCCUACACUUGAGCCCUUGAACUACGAUGAGGGCUAGCAUAAAUAGUAGUACAAAGAAAUGAGAUAUGCAUAUGAAUAACAUAAAUACGCAUAUAAACAAACUAAGAGUGAACAUUCAAAAUUUCCACACCAAAAUCAUCAUUCUAAAGAAUCGACAAACAUCCUACGAAACUAGAAGCUUCCGCUCAAAAUGAAUUAUAAAAACCAAAUUUUAAGAUGAUUGUAUCCACCAUACAUCCACUUAUCCUAGUUUCAAAAAGAGCAACAAUAUUUGGCCGAACCUCUUUCUUAUAUUCGUUGAAGAAACUAUGAAAGUAGGGGUGACCACACCCUUGAGCAUUCUAAAAAAAAUAAAUAUAAGUCUGGAACCAUCAUCCACAAAACACCAAAUUUAAAAUAUAUAUAUCUAUUAUCUCAGGAAUUCACAAAAUCCACAGAAGGCCCAGUCUCUGACCCAAUCACAUCAGAAAUUCCUCUCUUCAUAGCAGUGUCUUUUUCUACCUCUUUGGACAGUUCUUGGAUAAUUUCCUCCACGACUGUUGCCAUCGAAACAACUGAGAAAUCAUCAACAAGACCAAUAAUCUGGGUACAUCUCUCUCCCUCACUAGAAUAACCUCCAUCAAUCUUUGACCAAAGUUUUCCCUUGAAUUUCAGUUCAAAAUUACAGUAGAAUUUGAGCAUUGUGUCUAAAUUGAACUACCUGGUUUGUUCACAAUUUUGAUGGCAACAUUUUUAUUAGAAUUUAAGACAUACCUUAUUGAUUGAAAUUGAAAAGAAUCCAAAUCCUUUUCUAAAACCACAGGCCCCAUAUUUGAUCUAUCACCAAAAGGGUUACUUUUCUGCCCAGAUAAAG